rnacentral:rRNA from 1 species
UACGUAGGGUGCAAGCGUUGUCCGGAAUUAUUGGGCGUAAAGAGCUUGUAGGCGGUUUGUCGCGUCUGCUGUGAAAUCUCAAGGCUCAACCUAGAGCUUGCAGUGGGUACGGGCAGACUAGAGUGUGGUAGGGGAGACUGGAAUUCCUGGUGUAGCGGUGAAAUGCGCAGAUAUCAGGAGGAACACCGAUGGCGAAGGCAGGUCUCUGGGCCACUACUGACGCUGAGAAGCGAAAGCAUGGGGAGCGAACAGG